AAAAAAAAUGCUGCUAACCUAAUUUUUUUUGGCGAUAUUUUAAUUUCCCUUUCCCAAAAACAAAACACUCGGCACUCAGCAGCUUCAACAAAUAAAAAAGAAAGAAAGAAAUGUUAAGAGAAGAGAGGGAGAAACGGAGAAGGAGAGGAAAGGGAGGAAGGAGCCGGGUCGGCGCUGCUGAGUUCGCCGCCGCCGUCGCGUUGCCAUGCCGUCGAAAAGCCAGAACCGCAAGAGAAAGAACUGCGAAGAGAGAGGGAGAAUGCAUCAGCUCACCGCGAAGCCAGCGCCGUCGUCGUCUUCAUCGCGGGUCUACACCGUCGCGUCUUGCCACCGCCGCCACUACUAAGCUUGCCGUCGUCGCCAUUGAAGCCGAAGAGAGAGAGUGUGUUCGCGAAGAGAGGGAGAGUGCGCGCUCACGAAGGAGAAGAACGACGAAAAGGGAAGGAGAAGCAGAAGACGAUGAACCCAGGGGAGAAGGAGGAGGUCUGUUCUCGCACCGUCCUGCUCUGUCGUCGCGGUUGCCGUCGAUUGGGGUCAAGGCCGUCGCCGUCGCACCCUGUUUCAGUCGCCAUUAUGGUUUUUUGCUGCUGCCAUUGAUAGCACUGCCGCUGGGAGGAGCCGAAAGGGGAGAGGAGGUCGCCGUCAAACACGCCGCCACUAGUUACAACCGUUUCCAAAACCGGGACAGAUUCACUGAUGAGUUUUGAUCUGCCAAAGUUGGUUUUUUUUAGAGCGAAAUCAGAGAGAACAGAAAGGAAGUAACAUUGUAAGAUUGAAAUGAAUAGGCAUAAGAGCAAAUGAGUGGUGGGUAUGCUGACAUGAAGCAGAAAACUAAAGACGAACAUGCUCUAUGUGCAAUGUUGUAGUGUUGUUGUGUUGUGUGUUCUGAAGCUCAAAAGUGGAAGGCCCAGAAGAUUCUGCAUUGCUUUGCAUUAGCGCGGCUCUCUUUUCUGAAUCCCUCUUGCACUGCAAGCUCAUCAUCCGCCACAACCUCAUUGUGCCUUUCUUGAAUCCCUCUACGCAGUUUGUAGCUGCCAUCAUCCUCCGUGCAGUUCCCACCUGCUCAAGGAGUAUUAUGGGAGUGGAGAGACAAAGAAAGUGUCAUGGAGAGAAUCACAACUCAAAGGGUUGCAUUGUUUCCUCAUUGAAAAGGAAGAAGAUAUUUUAAAGGCCUUAAUGCUCGACUUAGGAAGCAUAAAGUUGAAGCUUUUAGAGAUGAGGCUAAAUUGCCACAAAUAGCACUGCUUAGUAGUGCAGAAAUUGUUCCUGAACCUCUGGGCCUAGUCCUCAUUAUUUCAUCUUGGAAUUUCCCCUUUGGUUUAUCCUUGGAGCCACUAAUAGGAGCAGUAGCAGCUGGAAACACAGUGGUCUUAAAGCCUUCAGAGUUGUCACCAGCAUGUUCUUCCAUACUUGCCCUUGGACUUCCCAAUCAUAAGGUUAGUCCAAAAAAUCAAUGUCUCAAUUGGGCAAGACCCAGAGUCAAAAUGUCUCAUUGGUGUUCUUGACAUAUAUGGCUUUGAAAGCUUUAAGAAUAACAGGUGAACAUAAUCAUAUAUGACAAAAGAAGGGAUUGACUGGAGCUACUUAGAAUCUGUGGAUAAUCAAGAUGUACUUGAUCUAAUUGAAAAGAAACCAGGUGGAAUCAUUGCUCUUCUUGAUGAAGCUUGCUAUGAAAAAGGUAUCAGGAAUUUGUUGCCCAGAAAAUUUGAUCCGCUAGAUACCUUUAACGAGGUAGCUGCUGCGGCAUUGGCAUUGACUGGGUUUCAACUCGUUUCGCGAGUCGGCGAAAUGAGAGGUCAUUCUGCACUACUGAGUGCUUUGGUAGAACGUUGGAGGCCGGAGACGCACACAUUUCAUCUUCCGGUUGGUGAGGUGACGGUGACGCUGAAGAUGUGAGCUAUAUUCUUAGUCCCCGAUUAAUGGAGAGGCCGUUACAGGUAGAUCAGACAGCAGUCAGCAGUUUUUGGUGGAGAACUGCAUGGCGUGUUUUGGUCGGGAGCCCGGUCUGCAAGAUCACGUGUCGGGGAAGGUUAAUAUUGCAUGGGUGCGACGGUGCAGAGACACCGAGAGGUGUGAUACUCAGCAGUCUGUUGAGCGGUACGUCCGAGCGCACAUUUUCUGCGUGCUCAGAACAGUUGUGUUUCCGGAUAAGUCGACUACUUCGUUGAACUCGAAGUUUCUACCGCUACUUUGGGAUUUCGACCGCAUUUCAUCAUACAGUUGGGGGCAACCUGUCUGGCACACCUAUACAGAUCGUUGUGUCGUGCAUCACGAUACAGAUGCAAAGAGAUGGAUGGCCCCCUGAUAUUGCUUUUUGUUUGGACGUGGGAGCGUAUGCCGCUCCUGGCACCUAUACCCCGCGAUCAGCUCGGCGAUGUUGGUAUUUCACUUGCGCGACGGUGGAGUCAUUGGCGCCGACAUACAAGGUAUAUACGACGGCCUACCGCGCACUUUAGGCGAGGACUCGACGACAUGGGAGUUGACGAUUUUAUAUGGCGGCCGUAUAUAGCUGUCGAGAUUCCGGAUGUCGUCGCUGCCCAGUUGUUUAUGUGCUCCACCCAGUUGCCGCUAGUGUCAUUCGAGUGCAUAGAAUGGCACCCAACAGACCGAGUUAGGCGACAGUUCGGGAUGCAACAGCUUCCACCAGGCCCAGCGUUCGACCUUGGUCGUGAUCAUUGUAUUGGGUUGAGAGGAGCACAGAACCAUGAUUGGGAACAAUUUACAGUCGAUGGGUUGACAGGUGGAGGACCGACCGCUAUAACACAUUGUAGUUAGGCGAGGAGAUUAUUGACUUUCAUCCUCUCCCAGUGUACUACGAGUGGUACACAGAGCAGUAUGGAAUGCACCUGCGACUGUCAGACAGAGUUGCAGGUGAAGAGGUUGGCGCCGAUGAGCCACAGCAGCAACAGGAAGAACCAGCUGGCCCUCAGCAGCAAGUCCCGCCUCAGGUUCCGGCACAGGAUCACCACUUUCAGGCCCCGGCCUAUGACCAGCAGUUUCAGAUGCCGGCAUAUGACCAGCAGCAUCAGAUGCCGGUAUAUGACCAAUAUUUUCAGAUGCCUGCAUAUGACCAGCAGCAUCAGAUACCGGCAUUUGAGCAACCAUUUUAGAUGCCGGCAUAUGAGCUGCAGUUUAGUCCCUUGGUUCCAGCGAGCAGUUUAGUCCCUUGGUUCCAGCGGACAGCCUCAGUCUGUCUCAGGUCCUGAGAGAUACAGAUACAACACAUCUAUUUCCGACGCGGGAGCAGGAAGCGCCUGCUCCAACUGUGCAGUCUGCUGGUCGUCGCGCCUUAUCAGGUCAUGCUAGUGACUUCGACAUGGACACCUCUACGGGGCAUGUACAUCAUGUCUGUCCUUCCGCACCACCGCGCACCCAGUUGUUUGACUUGAAUGAAUGCCCUCAGGAGGAAGAGGAUAGUUUUGGGGGAUGACGUUCAGCACUGUUAUGACCUUGGUGGAGCGAGUGCUCCGGGGGUGACUGGUUCCUGGAUAUGUGACACUGGCAGUUCAAGCAUGACAGAUUUCGGGGAUCUGGAUGCCGGUGUGUCUCAGGGUCAUCCGUAUAGCUUACGGACACAUACUGCACCUCCGGACAAAUACACGCCGUCGUUGUAUUCGAAGAAGGCGCCGAGGAAGUAGUCAAUUGCAGUUUAUGUUGUACUGCUAGAGUUUAGUUUUGUUUUCAUUGUCAUAUUUUGUAUUCAGUGUUUUAUUCAGUAUUGUAUUAUGACUUGGUAGUGUUAAGUAUUAUUGUUGUUAUAUA